CUUCCCUCAUGCGAUCAUUUCGUACACGAUUGCGUGCCCGUCGUCGCCCGCAGCGACAAGCAUCUUUGGAAGCAUCGCAAGCGCCCGCAGUGCGUUCCGGCCCGCGCCGAGCCCGUACAGCGUCUCUCCGGCGCC
rnacentral:ribozyme from 1 species